ensembl:lncRNA
GGCCGCAGCUCGACCUCGCAAACCCCUGGGGGGCGCUGCACACUCCACCACUGCCCCCUGGAGUGCGCAGCUCGAGCUCCCACUUUGGACGAAGAAAUUAGACGACGAUGGCAGCUACCGCAUCGGAGGCGCCGGAAGCCUCGGCCCAGGCCCAGGCCCAGGCCCAGGCCCAGGCCCAGGCCCAGGCCCAGGCCCAGGCCCAGGCCCAGGCCCAGGUCCAGGCCCAGGUCCAGGCCCAGGUCCAGGCCCAGGCCCAGGAUCAGGUCGAGGUCCCAACAGAAGAGGAGGCAGCAGAGGCAAAAGCAAAAGCAAUGGAGGAAGCCGCGGCCGCCGCCUCCCCUGCGAAUGAGGGUGAAGUUCUGGAGGCCCAGGUCAUCUCCGCUCCACAGAAGGCGGUGAGUACGGAGCGGAGCCCUGUCCCCCCAGUGCCCGAAGUUCCUUCGACAUCAGCGGCAUCCUCAGCUCAAGAUCCAGCGGCGGCGGUCACAGUGGACGCUCCCAGGAAGCGCCGCGGCAGCCGUGCGUUCAUCGACAUGUCUCUGGAUGAUAUCAUAAAGCUCCAACGGAGGGAGCAGGUCCUGGGCCAAGCAGAGCAAAAUGGAUGGAGAGGGUUUGCCAGAAACAGAAACCAGGCUUACGACCAGACAUCUGGAUUUUUCAAUGGACCCCAGCGAUUGAGGAGGUGGCUUGGACACCAGAAUUAUUACAGAACUGUUCAGAAUUCACACAGGCCAAGAGCGUUUCCUUUCAUCCCUAGGUGGAUCCCAGGUGACAGAAACAAUGCAGCUUUUGAGGGGGAUGGCAACAGCGAAUCAACAGCUAGGCAGUUCAAUAACCAAAACAGCUGGCCUGAGAGAUGGAGGAGACAGCUGACAUUUGGACCAGCGAGCAAAUCAUUGCCAAGUAAUGCAAGAAGAGCAACCAAGCAGAAGCAGCAAAGGGACAGUCAAGUGAACCAGAACCGGGGGAUACCACCACCACACACAGGACAGACAUCUCAGGGGAAGUCUCCAAGCCAAAGCAGCUUUUCUGACAGGUACCAAGUCCAGAUCAAACCCGGAUCAGUCCUCACAAUUUCUGUUGCCAGUCCUCAGGGAGGCCCAAAUAAGCUAUUCAGAAGAACCAAUGAGGAAAGUUCAUUUCAAACAAAUAAAUGGAACUCGCCUAAAAUUGAGAAAAUUCAGCCCAAAGGGAUUUCCCUGAGAUACAAUUUCCGGGCUGUUGCCAAUCAGACUAAAAUUACCCUCAAUGAAAGAUUCUCUGGCCUGCCCAUCCUCCCAAAGGAUUUCACAGUUACCAAACCUCGGAACAGAACCGUCACACUGCCUUAAAUGUUCACAGCUAUGAUAAUACAGAGUUAGUAGUUGCUUAAUGCAUUUUUUUUGCCAGAGAUAGUUAUUUUUCUUCAAAUAGUUUGCUGACAUAGACUUUCCACUUUAUGCUACAGUCUCAGUAAUCCAUUACUGUUGUGUGUAUACAUAUACCCCAAGGAACAAAAUCCCUGUGGGCUCUCUCUCUUCAUGUCCGUUUACUCGCAAAGUUGGCAGGUAACAUAGGAGACAGAAGGGGUGAAACAUCUCCGUGGCUUCUUACAGUCGCACCGUUGUCCUUUCCUCUUUGGGUGCCCUGUAGCAGUGGAGGGUUCGUUCACUCCCAGUUCACUUGUUCAUUAAAACUGAGGAACCCAUUUCAGAUCCUGUUCUACCAUUAGAGUAAACUAGCCCACAGGGGCUGCUCUGUCCAUAGCCUUGGGAGAGCAGUCACUCAGUCCAGCUGAACUUGACAUUUCCAAUGGAACAUCUGGGACAGACUGUUUGGCAUUUCUGUUGACAUUAACUGGCAUUGGACCUUAACAUGGAUUUGUAGAGAUUUACAGGUAGUUGCAUUCUAAGAUGGAGCACUGUCUACUAUGUGUACACAAACUAAAUAAAGACUAUGGAAACCAGGC